GAUGAACGCUGGCGGUAUGCUUAACACAUGCAAGUCGAACGGUCACUUCGGUGAUAGUGGCGGACGGGUGAGUAACGCGUGAGAAUCUGUCUUCAGGUCGGGGACAACAGUUAGAAAUGACUGCUAAUACCGGAUGUGCCUUUGGGUGAAAGAUUUAUUGCCUGAAAAAGAGCUCGCGUCAGAUUAGCUAGUAGGUGGUGUAAGAGACUACCUAGGCUCCGAUCUGUAGCUGGUCUGAGAGGACGAUCAGCCACACUGGAACUGAGACACGGCCCAGACUCCUACGGGAGGCAGCAGUGGGGAAUUUUCCGCAAUGGGCGAAAGCCUGACGGAGCAAUACCGCGUGAGGGACGAAGGCUUUUGGGUCGUAAACCUCUUUUCUCAAGGAAGAUGAUGACGGUACUUGAGGAAUAAGCAUCGGCUAACCCUGUG
rnacentral:rRNA from 1 species